GGCUCAAUGGUCUAGUAGUAUGAUUCGUGCUUCGGGUUAUCCCCACGUGAUUAUAUUACGUAACAAAUUGCACGAGGUCCCGAGUUCAAUUCUCGGUUGAGCCC